GCGUGAGUGAAGAAGGCCUUAGGGUUGUAAAACUCUUUCACCCGCGAAGAUGAUGACGGUAGCGGGAGAAGAAGCCCCGGCUAACUCCGUGCCAGCAGCCGCGGUAAUACGGAGGGGGCUAGCGUUGUUCGGAAUUACUGGGCGUAAAGCGCACGUAGGCGGCGCAUCAAGUCAGGGGUGAAAGGCCUGGGCUCAACCCGGGAACGGCCUUUGAUACUGAUGUGCUUGAGUCCGGGAGAGGGUAGUGGAAUUCCCAGUGUAGAGGUGAAAUUCGU
rnacentral:rRNA from 1 species